GUAGGUGGCAAGCGUUGUCCGGAAUUAUUGGGCGUAAAGCGCGCGCAGGCGGUCCUUUAAGUCUGAUGUGAAAGCCCUCGGCUCAGCCGUGGAGGGUCAUUGGAAACUGGGGGACUUGAGUACAGAAGAGGAAAGCGGAAUUCCAAGUGUAGCGGUGAAAUGCGUAGAGAUUUGGAGGAACACCAGUGGCGAAGGCGGCUUCCUGGUCUGUAACUGACGCUGAGGCGCGAAAGCGUGGGGAGCAAACAGGGAUUAGAUACCCUGGUAGUCCACGCCGUAAACGAUGAGUGCUAAGUGUUAGGGGGUUUCCGCCCCCUUAGUGCUGCAGCUAACGCAUUAAGCACUCCGCCUGGGGAUACGGCCGCAAGGCUG
rnacentral:rRNA from 1 species